ACCCAGAAUACAUUCAGUGAGGAGCACCAGUACAGCAGUCCAUGCUGAGUUCUGGGAUGUUCAGGUUUUUUGCAGGAUAUAUCUUACCUUCAUCACUGACCCAGCCUUGGAGAGAAGUGUCUUAACAGCAAUAAAGGCAGAUUGUGGAGAGGAGGCAGCAGUGCCACUGCUUCUGUUAUUAUUUAAUAACUGUACAAUCUUCCGAAAAUGUGAAGAAUGGGAAAUCAUUGUUAGAGCUACUAAAAAAGAAAAUUGGUCACACUGACAGAAAGUACUGAGAUAAUACUGGGUGACCCCAAAUAAGAGGUCAGUCUAUGGAAAAUGAAAUUAUUUCUGAACAUGCAAAGAGAGUACAAGAAGCCGUAUCUUCAGCAGUUUUAACAGUGAUGUUGCAACAGCUGCUCAUAUUGUCCUAUAAUGAUGACAAAUGGGAUGUUAAAAAGCUUCAUACUCCCAAAGAAGGUGGAGCAGAAAAUUCUGUAUCAUAUCACACAGGAAAGUGUGCCUUGGUGAGAUGGCCAGUACUUGCUGGGUGCUGAUCAACCUCACCUGUAGGCACAGGUGGAAUCUCCUCAGUAACGUACCCCUAAACUUCAAUUGUUUUACAAAUAAUCAUUUCUUAAAGCCACAGUGAAGUAAAAUGAUUAAGGUUAGUUAAAUACAUUCACUAUGCUCACCUGGAGGCCCACACCUGUGCCAGAGCACACUUUGAGGCCCUGGGGGAUGGGCGUCGACGGUGAGGUGUGAGCAUGGCAAUGCUGGGGGCACCACAAGGUCUGGAUGGCCCCAAUCAGGCCCACUCAGAAUCUCCCCUCCCCCCAGCUCAGGACUUUGUCUCGGCUUGCCCUGCUUCAGCCUUGCUAGUAUCCCGCUAGAGAAGCCCGGGCUCGCUUUCCCGCCUCUGCACCACAGCCUCUCUGAGGGGACAAAAGCAUCCAGCCUGGGGCCCCGCGCUGAGGUAGAGCACGUAGCCCCGGUGCGUGCAUUGUGCAGGCCUCAAAUCACCUCAGGUUUGGAGGAGGGGAGAAAGGGCACUGGAAAGCUCAGUGUUAGCAGCAGCUGGGCUCGUUUCAUCUGCUGGUUUUAAGAAAGACUGCACAAGCACUGUGACAAAUCCUGCUUGAGCUGUUAGAGAAAACCUUAAAUGUUCUCAGUAACAGGAACCUCUUCCUCAGGUGGCACUGAUUUAGACCCAUGGGAAAAGGAUUAGCAUGCACUGCAUGCAGCUGCCUCACCCUACAAGAUGGAGGGGACUGCUGCUGCUGCUCCACAUAUGUGGAUCCUGCCUUACCUCUUUCCAAAAGCAAAGGGUGGUUGUUGAGCUCUCAUGUGAACAAUCUAAUGGACUUGCUCCAGAAGGCUGUGUAAACUCAGCUUUUCCCACUUGUUCCCGCCACAGCCUUGGCUAUUCAUCUCCCCAGGAGGCCGUCGUGACUGAAGUGAGCAGUGGCCUCUUGUUUCCUCCGUGCUGCAGACAGAGCUCUAUCCGUGUAACAUAUGAGCUUUCUAUAGUGGACAUAAUGACUCUGGGACAGAAAAAGAAAUACUUCAAGGAGCCAUGCUGACAAAAGAAGACAGAUAAAAGGCACCUUGCGCCUUUCUGUGGCAGACAGCAUAAGGAUACUUGAAGCUGAAGUGGCGGGUGGAACCUGCUGAGCUGUCUGGUGAGAGCAUCUGAGGUGCAGGUAAGAGAACUGGCGGGUGCUGUGGGUGCUCUCCUGUGUUUUGAUGUUGUUAUUGUAUCCCUAUGCACUGAGGAAACAUGCAACUCCAUAAGGAAAAGCAAUAACUAAGGAUGAAAGUGCUGAGGAAAAUUUUGAAGAAUAUAGAGUAUGUACUGGAAAUGUAGAGAAAGUGACCUUGCUCUUAAAUUUCUAGCUUCAGCAUCACUCAUCUUUGGUUUCUUCAUUUUGCUUUCUUGGUUGAUUUAUAAGUAGUAAAGGCAAGAGUAGUCAGAAGCAAUUGUGUGUGAUUGAAGUAAACCAUUUAACCUGUUGCUAUAGUUCUUGUUUGCUGUAAAGUUGAAAGAGAAAUAUUUUAAACUGAUUGUCUUAAGGAUUGAUACUGUGGUAUGGAUUAAGGGUUAGGUUAUUAAACAGCUGAUAUAUUAACUGUUUUGCAUCUGGUUUUACAAAUGAAGAGGGUGGAGAUUUGCUUAAACUGCAUCAGAUGUUUAUGGGUAACAGAUGAAGAAUUAGGAAGUGUGCAGAUUAACACGAGUAAUGAUUAAGAAAAGCUUAUGGACUUUAAACCCUAUUAAGGUCUAUGACAAAUAAUAAGUGAUACAAGAAGGAGAUGCACAAGUGUGGUUUGAAGGGGAAUGGAAGCACACAGAGCAAGGACAGCUUAGUUGGAUUUUGAGUCUUGGAGCAUCAUUAAAAGGAUAAAAUUAACUUUGACAAACUCAAGCUCUACAGAUAGCCUGUCAUCUAUUCUGCUCCCUUCCUGUGAUACCUUAGCUCUGAAUUUGGUUGUUGUAUGUCUGCUGCUGGCUACAUUGUAUUCAGAAGCCCUGGGUGGCUUGGAAGCCAUGUUACCUCCUUGCAUAUAACAGCAUGUAGUCAGAGUUGAAAGGAAAGUCUGAGUCAUCUGGUUUCUAAAUCUCAAAUAGGCCACGUCCUGGCACUCCAUUCUUGCUUCAUUUGCAAUAAAAAGGACUUACAAUGCAGACAUAAUGUGUUUUUUGAAGAAAUGGCAUUGUUGAUGCAAAACAAAGUAUGGCAGAUGUCUUGCAGAAUUAACAGAUUUGUAUGCAUUUCACAAUGGCUCUUCUACUUCUUGCUCUAGAAGCAUGUUAGCAUGUGUAAAUGCUUGCAACUAAUAUUUGGUAACAAUGUGUUGUUUUUUUUCUGGAGCUCGCUCUAUUAUGUCUAGAGAAAGUAAAAGGAGAAGGCUCAGCCUUAUAGAUGGCCUUGGGUUGAAGGAUUGGUGCUAAGAUGAGCUUGUUUGAAAUUUGACAAAAAUAAAUAAAUAGAAGGGGCUGUAAGAGAAAAGGGAUUGUGGAGUUUUGGGGAAGGGGCUGGGCAAGUACUGGUGCUUGGAGAUUAAAAAGAAGAAAACAAAAACAGAACAAAAGAACACCUGAAAUAAAGAGAGAUGUGAGGUAUGUUGCAAGAGAAAUUUCAUCCUCUAGUCAUGAAGUGUGGAGAUGAAGACUCUAAAGGUAAGUGGAGAAGGCAGCUACAAGUAGUAAGAUGAUAACUUUCAUGAAUGAAUGGAGAAGGAUAUGGUGCCAGUAUAUUGCUGAUAUUGGUCUGAAAAUAUUGCUGAGCAGAGCUUAGUAGAAAAAGGCCUUCUGAAGGAAAGAGGGUGGUGUGGUGGUAGGAGUAGAGAUGUGCUGUUGUGCUGAAAAUAUUUAGAACCAAUUGAGAGAAAUGUUUUGGUGAGCAGAUAAAAAAUAAAUGUAGCAGAAAUGCUAAGUCAUGGCUUGAACCAGUGAUUGAGCACCUGGUGGGAAGGCAGGGCCAACCCAGGGGAGCUCAGGUGCGUGCAGUGCAAUGUACCUGAGUGACCAGAAGGGAUGCAGCCCAGGAUCCAUCCCUUUGCAGACCUCAUUUAAGGGUUGGCAGUGGAGGCAAGGGUAUUUUGCUGGAGAUCCUUGCAUACCUUCAAAGGGUAAGCAGGUUCAUUUUGUUUCUACAUCUACAGCUGCUGCACUUGAGCUUAUCCUCACUAGGACUUUGCCACUUGGCUAUUAUUGCUGUGCUUUCUAUUGCACUAUAGCAUUACUCCAAGGCAGGGUGAACGACUGAGGUUGGAGGAAAUUAGGGGGUGUAAAAUGGCAAACCCAGUUUUGCUGAUGCUUCCCCCCCACCACUCCCUUCCAAAGCUGAGUACUUCACUCUACUCAAUAAGAGUGUGAAGGUUGCAUCAGUUCCUUGUCAUCCUUCCUCUGGUCAUGAGUUUGGGGGGAGUUUUGACUUGCUUUACUUUUGUUCAGUAUUACCCACCCCCAUCCUGAAGAUUCACUCAGUGAAAAUGCAGAGUGAAAUUGGUGUGAGCAGUUGUGGUUGUUGUCCUGCCGUUUGUUGAACUUUAAUGUGAAACUUCUGCUUUUUUUUCCUUUUGGUACUCAAAAAACUACUUCAGUUAUAUAGUAUACUGUAAAAAUGUUAUACAGCUUUAUGUACCCUACUGAUUACAACAAAUAAAAUUUGAAAACCAGGGUGAUGGUUACAAUU
ensembl:lncRNA